CCUACUGGGGGCUGCAGUGGGGAAUAUUGGACAAUGGGGGCAACCCUGAUCCAGCCAUGCCGCGUGUGUGAAGAAGGCCCUCGGGUUGUAAAGCACUUUCAGUGAGGAAGAACGCCUGGUGGUUAAUACCCAUCAGGAAAGACAUCACUCACAGAAGAAGCACCGGCUAACUCCGUGCCAGCAGCCGCGGUAAUACGGAGGGUGCGAGCGUUAAUCGGAAUUACUGGGCGUAAAGCGCGCGUAGGUGGCUUGAUAAGCCGGUUGUGAAAGCCCCGGGCUCAACCUGGGAACGGCAUCCGGAACUGUCAAGCUAGAGUGCAGGAGAGGAAGGUAGAAUUCCCGGUGUAGCGGUGAAAUGCGUAGAGAUCGGGAGGAAUACCAGUGGCGAAGGCGGCCUUCUGGACUGACACUGACACUGAGGUGCGAAAGCGUGGGUAGCAAACAGGAUUAGAUACCCUUGUAGUC
rnacentral:rRNA from 1 species